UAAAAACACAGCAGCCAAUAAUUCAGUUAAUUUACCAAGUGAUUUACCCUUCAAAGCUACAGGGGUAGCUUUCCUGAAGAGUGCAAAAACUUCUUUAGCUUUCAAAAUGGUAUAUAGUACAAACAGUGAAGCUAAUAUAGACACAUCUGAUCAUUCAUCAUCAACAAUAACUGCAUCUGAGAAUUAUAGUUCUACAGUAACCGUGGAGUCUAGGUCAACAAUUACUAUUUCUCAUCCAAGCCAUUUUUGUUUAACUGCUACACAUUCCCUGACUCUGCCAAGGAAAAGGGUAAAAUCAAAAUGAUAUCCUGAGGACCUAAGCACUGAUGAUUCCACCGUUUCAAGAGCUUAAUCACUUGUCACCAGAUUAUGGAAAAAAAAUAAAGAACAAAAAAUUAAAAUUCGAAGAUUGCAACAAGCAAAUUUGCGCCAAAGAAAUUGAAUUAGAUGUCUCAAGUCAUUAUUAAAAUACUUACAUGAAAUAAUAACAUGAUUUUAUGGAAAAGCUCAACAUACUACAUAUUUUAUUUGACUUG